rnacentral:rRNA from 1 species
UACGUAGGGAGCAAGCGUUGUCCGGAAUCAUUGGGCGUAAAGCGCGCGUAGGUGGCCUCAUAAGUCCGCUGUGAAAGUCAAAGGCUCAACCUUUGAAAGCCGGUGGAUACUGUGGGGCUAGAGUACGGAAGAGGCGAGUGGAAUUCCUGGUGUAGCGGUGGAAUGCGCAGAUAUCAGGAGGAACACCAAUAGCGAAGGCAGCUCGCUGGGACGUUACUGACACUGAGGCGCGAAAGCUAGGGGGAGCAAACGGG